rnacentral:lncRNA from 1 species
AUUUUUGGUACAUUUUUUGGGUACAUUUUUUUGGUACAUUUUUUUGGUACAUUUUUUUGGUACAUUUUUUUGGUACAAUUUUUUGGUGCAUUUUUUUGGUAUAUUUUUUGGUAUAUUUUUUGGUAUAUUUUUUUAUAUAUAUUUUUACUAUGUAUUUUUACUAUGUAUUUUUUUAUGAAAAUUAACUUCCAUGCAUGAAUAAAUUUUGUGUAUAACUCACUUAUUUGCGUGACGCUUUGUGCAUUUUUUUUUUUUUUUUUUUUUUAUUUAUUUUUUUUUUUUUUAUUGUGCCAGUUUUUGUGCUUGUUCUUAUUCAUAACUAACUUGCGGUGACAACAAAAAUGGAAAAGCAUCAUUUUUUAAAAGUACAAAAAGGGAAAGACAAAGAGAGAGAUAAGGAAAAAACAAAAGAAAAAAAAGAGAUGAACGAACUUGUGCCAGAGUUAGGCAGUAACACGAUUUUUAGCAUAAACUCGAUGAGUAAUGAAACUAAAAAUUAUUUUUUAACAAAUUAUAUAGCUAAGAUUCAGUAUUUAAUUGCUAAUUCGAUUAACCCCAGUUAUUAUGAAGUUUUAAAUGUGGACGUAAACACAAAUAUUAAACAUAUUCGAAAAAGUUAUUUGUUAUUGUCUAAAUUAUUUAAUGUUAAUAAAAAACUACCAAAUGAAUACAAAGAAUAUUAUUAUUUAAUACAAAAAGCAUAUAAUGUAUUAACAGAUAAAUUUGAAAAAUUUUAUUAUGACGUUUUAAAUAAUUACAUUGUUAAUGGGAGAUUAAUAGAAGAACAAAGAAAAACAUUAGAACAAGAAGCAGAUAUUAUUUAUAAAAAUAGAAUAGAAGAAUUAAAAUACUUAUAUAAUAAAAAAUUAGAAGAAGAAAGUGAAAAAAAUGGUUUAAUUAUAGAAAAGGCAUUAUACGGUAAUAUGACAUUAAAAAAACAAUAUAUAAACAAAUGUUUAGAGAUUGAAUUAAUAAAUGAAAAUCAUUUAGAAGGGCCUUAUAUAGAUUUGACUACAAUUUUACAAGCACAAAUUGAAAAUAGUUCAUUAUUAUUUAAUAAUGAACUAUUUUCAAUUUGUUUUUGUGGUGUUCCCAAACCGUUAAUUAAAAUUUGCAACAAUUAUGAAAAACAAAAAACAAUUAACUGUUAUAUAAAUUUAUUAACAGAAACAGAAAUGUAUUUAUAUAUAAGAUAUAAAUUUUUAAAUAUAUAUCACGAAUGUAUUAUUAAUGAUAGAGCAAAUUAUUCAUUACCUCAAAGUACACAUAGAGUUUUUGGAAAUCAUAUAUCAGGUCCAUUUUCACCUGUCAACAUAACAAAAAUGCAACAUUUACCUAACUCUUUUUUUGAUCACUUUUUUCAAUUUUUUGCAAAAAAUAAGUUUUAUAUCACGUUGUUAACAACGAUUAUACUUUGCGCACAAUCUGUUAAAUCAAGCUAACAUGCGCGCAUAUAAUUAGUGACAGACAAAAAUCCGACUAAACUGUAAACAGUUAAAGUUAUUACGAAUAAAUAGACAAAAGCAAUGUAACA